rnacentral:rRNA from 1 species
GACGAACGCUGGCGGCGUGCUUAACACAUGCAAGUCGAACGAUGAUGCCCAGCUUGCUGGGUGGAUUAGUGGCGAACGGGUGAGUAACACGUGAGUAACCUGCCCCUGACUCUGGGAUAAGCGUUGGAAACGACGUCUAAUACUGGAUAUGAUCACUGGCCGCAUGGUCUGGUGGUGGAAAGAUUUUUUGGUUGGGGAUGGACUCGCGGCCUAUCAGCUUGUUGGUGAGGUAAUGGCUCACCAAGGCGACGACGGGUAGCCGGCCUGAGAGGGUGACCGGCCACACUGGGACUGAGACACGGCCCAGACUCCUACGGGAGGCAGCAGUGGGGAAUAUUGCACAAUGGGCGAAAGCCUGAUGCAGCAACGCCGCGUGAGGGAUGACGGCCUUCGGGUUGUAAACCUCUUUUAGUAGGGAAGAAGCGAAAGUGACGGUACCUGCAGAAAAAGCACCGGCUAACUACGUGCCAGCAGCCGCGGUAAUACGUAGGGUGCAAGCGUUGUCCGGAAUUAUUGGGCGUAAAGAGCUCGUAGGCGGUUUGUCGCGUCUGCUGUGAAAUCCCGAGGCUCAACCUCGGGCUUGCAGUGGGUACGGGCAGACUAGAGUGCGGUAGGGGAGAUUGGAAUUCCUGGUGUAGCGGUGGAAUGCGCAGAUAUCAGGAGGAACACCGAUGGCGAAGGCAGAUCUCUGGGCCGUAACUGACGCUGAGGAGCGAAAGCAUGGGGAGCGAACAGGAUUAGAUACCCUGGUAGUCCAUGCCGUAAACGUUGGGCGCUAGAUGUAGGGACCUUUCCACGGUUUCUGUGUCGUAGCUAACGCAUUAAGCGCCCCGCCUGGGGAGUACGGCCGCAAGGCUAAAACUCAAAGGAAUUGACGGGGGCCCGCACAAGCGGCGGAGCAUGCGGAUUAAUUCGAUGCAACGCGAAGAACCUUACCAAGGCUUGACAUACACCGGAAACGGCCAGAGAUGGUCGCCCCCUUGUGGUCGGUGUACAGGUGGUGCAUGGUUGUCGUCAGCUCGUGUCGUGAGAUGUUGGGUUAAGUCCCGCAACGAGCGCAACCCUCGUUCUAUGUUGCCAGCGGGUUAUGCCGGGGACUCAUAGGAGACUGCCGGGGUCAACUCGGAGGAAGGUGGGGAUGACGUCAAAUCAUCAUGCCCCUUAUGUCUUGGGCUUCACGCAUGCUACAAUGGCCGGUACAAAGGGCUGCGAUACCGUAAGGUGGAGCGAAUCCCAAAAAGCCGGUCUCAGUUCGGAUUGAGGUCUGCAACUCGACCUCAUGAAGUCGGAGUCGCUAGUAAUCGCAGAUCAGCAACGCUGCGGUGAAUACGUUCCCGGGCCUUGUACACACCGCCCGUCAAGUCAUGAAAGUCGGUAACACCCGAAGCCGGUGGCCUAACCCUUGUGGAAGGAGCCGUCGAAGGUGGGAUCGGUGAUUAGGACUAAGUCGUAACAAGGUAGCCGUACCGGAAGG